rnacentral:rRNA from 1 species
CAAUAAGCGGAGGAAAAGAAACCAACAGGGAUUGCCCCAGUAACGGCGAGUGAAGCGGCAACAGCUCAAAUUUGAAAUCUGGCCCCAGGCCCGAGUUGUAAUUUGCAGAGGAUGCUUUUGGCGCGGUGCCUUCCGAGUUCCCUGGAACGGGACGCCAUAGAGGGUGAGAGCCCCGUACGGUUGGACACCAAGCCUUUGUAAAGCUCCUUCGACGAGUCGAGUAGUUUGGGAAUGCUGCUCUAAAUGGGAGGUACAUUUCUUCUAAAGCUAAAUAUUGGCCAGAGACCGAUAGCGCACAAGUAGAGUGAUCGAAAGAUGAAAAGCACUUUGAAAAGAGGGUUAAACAGCACGUGAAAUUGUUAAAAGGGAAGCGCUUGUGACCAGACUUGCGUCCGGUGAAUCACCCAGCUCUCGCGGCUGGGGCACUUCGCCGGCACAGGCCAGCAUCAGCUUGCCGUCGGGGACAAAAGCUUCAGGAACGUGGCUCCUCUCGGGGAGUGUUAUAGCCUGUUGCACAAUACCCUUCGGCGGGCUGAGGUACGCGCUCCGCAAGGAUGCUGGCGUAAUGG